GGCAGCUCAGCCCCACACAGCAGCUUGCUCACUUCUCCCUCAAUGAGAUAGGGAAGACACUUGAAAAGGUUAAAGUGAGAGGACCUGUGGGUUGAUAUAAAAACAGUUUAAAAGGUAAAAAAAAAAAAAAAAAAAAAAAAAAAAAAAAAAAAAAAAAAAAAACAAAAAAAAAAAAAAAAAAAAAAAAAAAAAAAAAAAAAAAAAAAAAAAAAAAAAACCUUCACCCAGGAGACUUUUUCCAUUUAGAAGUUAGCCCUUAAAUAAUCAUGUGAGAAGCACGGGUUAAUUGCUUGCACCCGUGCUUCCUGGGCCAGUUAUCCACUUCACAGGGUGCUCAAUCAUCAUUUCAGAUCAUGACAUAACAGUACACCUGCAGAUAUUAACAACUCAAAUUAUAAUAAAAGACAAAAACAAACAAACAAACAAAACAGCAAAUAAGUCAGCUAAACAAAAACACAGUCUAGGUGUUUGGACAUUCAAUUGAUUUUUUGAUUUUAGGAUUUGUGAACAUGGUAUGGAGAAUUCAAAUAUCCUAACGGCAUAUUUUGAUUAAAAAAAAAAAAAAAACAAAAAAAAAACCCUUGCUAAUAAUUAUGUUAUCUGUUUGUAUCCACAUUAUUUCCUAAAUAAUUUCCAAGGUCACUUUUGGUUUCAGACUAAUUCUAGCACCUGAUCUUGUUGAGAAAUUUAUACUUCCAAAACUUACAUUAAACAUAGUAUCUGCAUUAUUUUUAUAUACUGGUACUCAUCUUGAACUCAGCCUGUUAGUACUUCUCACAUAUUAAGCUUAUUGUGAUGCCAGAAUGCUUCUGAUGAGAAUGUAUGUUCGUUCGCUGUUGAACUGUGUAAAGGUAAACUUUGAAUUCCUGUACAUAUUAAAUGUCCCUGAGUGUCUCUUAAGAUAUUCAUUAGCAUUUCAUUGCUAAUCUCAAGCCUUCCCAAAAUCAAAUAAUAGUCUGAUCUGCUACUUCACACUUAAGGUAAUUUUGGAUGCUUCUGUACACAUGUGAAAAAUGUCAUGAACACUGAACUUUCUAUUACAGCAAAUGAAUUCCCUUUAGACAGUUUGUACUACCUGAAAAAUAUAUUCAGUAUUUCAAACAUCAGAACCUACUCAUUUUGAAUAAUCUAGUCUUUUCACAUUAGCCAACGUUGUGUCAUCCCAUAAGUACUUGCAAUUUUCAGUUUUCUCCUCCAUACUCCUGCAGGGUGGGGGAGUGAGUGAAUGGCUGUGAUUAACCGUCUGCUGGGUAAAGCCACAACAGCUCAGUUUUUUGAAAGAUAGUCAAUUUUGCUGUCUUUGUUUUCUUUAUGCACAUUAUGUUAGAUAUAGAUAUACUGUAUAAAUCACUACAGAUGAGAAAUAUGAGCAUACCAAAGGUGAAUGUUGUAGUAGCAAAUUUCAAAAAUGCAGUUAUAAUUAAACUGAAGCAAACCAAUUAAUUGGCAGAUUUUACAGAAACAACCUCACCUCCACUUCAGUCACAACAGGAUAAAUUAUACAAACUGAAAUCAACUAAUAAUGGAGAAAGCCUGUGGUAUGAUAGAUAUCCAAAUGGCAAAUAGAGAUUAAAGAAUUUUUGUACCCUUUUCUUGGAUGAAGUAAAUUCUUCAAUCAAAUGUUAACUGUUUGUAGGAAAAAAACAAAAAACAAACAAAAAAAAACAGAUGAGUAUUUUAUAUACACACAUUUCUCAACUGAUUUAAAAUCUGCUACAUCAUAGCUGUUUCGUAACUGUCAUAAUACUGUAAGUGAAAUUUUAUAUUAAAUGACAAAGAUCCUGGAAAUCAUUAACACAACAGCUAUGACAAUAUCAAAAUAAAUACUAUUCUUUAUACUGAAAUUUAUGAAGCUGUGUUUCUGAAACAAUACUCAGAGAGCAUCUCUGUGCUCUAUCAGGGCUGUUGAUAAAGAAUGAACUAAAUCUACACUGAACUUCACCAUAAAGACUACGCUUCUUGCAAGAGCACAUGGGUAUCUCCUGUUCUGCAGCACACUGUUAGCUGCUGGUAAGAAAAACAUACCUCUGUAGAAAGUAGUCUAUUGUGAGUGAUUAGUCAUUUAAGUGUGUGGCCUUCUUUUUCUGAUUUUCAGUCUACAACAGUAAAGACUCUUGUUUUAGCACGAGUUCCACAUAAAUAACCUGUACUGUUUUUUUUUUGUUGUUGUUGUUGUUGUUUUGUUUUGUUUUGUUUUUUUGCAUGGUAUUUUUCUCUUAGACCUUCAUUGUGUUACAUGCAUAUAUACACAAAAAAGUUUGCUACAGAGUUUUCUGUAGAGAUCACCACCAGCUGAGAAAGCAUUAGCCUUGUCACUGUCCAGAAUAUACUGUUGCAAAGAGAAACUGCACGUACUCUGGGUUUACUAAUUUAAAGUAAGCAUUAGCUAGUACUCUGAAUCAAAACAUCAUCAUAGAAUAUCACUCUUACUGUCCUCAUCCCAAUUAGUAUUUGAUUACACAUUACUUUAUUCUAAUACAAGAUUCUGCUCCAGUUCAAAUAAAUAAAUCAGACUUCCUUUUCAGUAAUUAACAAAUUGAAAAACAGCAAAUUGCAGCAAAAUGAUUUAUUUCUUUUAGUCAUUGCCCUCAAGAAAUUAUGAUCAAUUUACUGUCCACAGGAGAGCUUACUGUAACUGAAAAGUAUACCUGAGACAUGAAACACAUACAGAUUUUCUCAAAGAAGUUUUACGUCGUCAUGUUCCUCAUUCGUAUGACUUAACAAAAGAGACAGAGAGUCUCUAUGCACUCAAAUCCCUGAACUAUGCACACAAAUUCCUGAACCCCAAUGGGAUGCACCCACGAGUGCUCAGGGAGCUGAAAGAAGUGAUUGCAAAACUGCUCUCAUUUUUAAAGAUCAUGGAGAAUUGGAGGGGUGACUGAAGACUGGAGGAAAACCAAUGUCACUCCAGUCUUCAAAAAAGUGAAGGAGGAAUGAGGAAUCUACAGGCCAGUUAACCUCAACAUUAUCCCUGGGGAGAUGAUAGAACAGCUUAUUUUGAAUGUCAUCUCCAAGCAAGUGGAAGAAAAUAAGCUUACCAGGAGCAGUCAACAUGGAUUCACCAAAGGGAAAUCAUGCUUGACAAAUAUGGUAGCCUUCUAUGAUGUCAUGACUCACUGGGUAGAUGAGGGAAAAGCAGUGGAUAUUCAGCAAGUUUUUUUGUUUUGUUUUGUUUUUGUUUCUGUUUUUCAUAGAAGCAUAGAACAUCUUGAGUUAGAAAGGACCCGUAAGAAUUGUCAAGUCCAAGUCUGGGCUCCUCACAGAACCACCCAGAACUCAGACCAUAUGAUGCAUCUGGAACUCUGUCAGCUUGAGGCUGUGACCACUUCCAUGGGGAGCCUGUUUUUUAUCGGUGUCCUCGUACCAAUUCCUGUGACCUGAUAUCCAUGCCCUAGUAGCAGCAUGGAAUUUCAUAUGAUUAAGUAUAGUUUUAGAGUAAGUUUCAUGAACUUCUGAAAAUUGAUUCUGCUGAGAUUUAGAUAACAACAGUAAGCUUAUCUGGGAGGGGUGCAGUCUUCCUCUUCCAUGCUCUCAUAGUAUCUCUCAUAGUAGAUGAGUGGACAGUAAAGUGCACUGAGAUCAGUAAAGCUCUGAGUGUUGCAAUCAGUGCCCCAGAGCCUAGAUGGAGGCCUGUAGCUAGCAGUGUUUCCCAGGGGUUGGCACUGGGUCCAGUCUUGCAUAAUAGCUUCAUCAGAUGCCUGGCUGAAGGUAGAGAGUGCACCCUCAGCAAGUUAACUGAUCAUACAAAGCUGGGAGGAAUGGCACCUCCAGACAGGUGGCUGUUCAGUGAGACCUGAACAGCCCAGAGGGUUGGAUAGAGAGGAAGCUUAUGAGGUUCAACAAGAUCAAGUGUAGAGUCUUGCAUCUGGGGAGGAGUCAUUUCAUGAGUCUGUAAAGGUUAGAGGAUGGCCUGCUGGAAAGGAGCUCUGCAGAGAAGGACCUCGAUUCUUGUGGGCAACAGGUUUGCCAUGAGCCAGCAAUGCACCCUUGUGGCCAAGAAGGCCAAUAGUAUCCUGAGGUACAUUAAAGAGAACACGGCCAGCAGGUCGAGGCAUAUUCUCCACCUGACCUAUUCUCUCCUUGCAAAGCCACAUCUGGAGUUGUGUGACAAGAUGUGGGCUCCUCAGUUCAAUAAAAACAUGGAACUUCUAGAGAGAAUCCAGCUGAGGGCCACAAAGAUGAUUAGGUGCCUGGAGCAUCUCCUUUAUAAGUAAAGGCUGAGAAACCUUUGAUUGUUCUGCCUGGGGGAGAGAAGAGUGAUGAGGGAUCUUAUCAAUGCUUAUAAAUAUCUAAGGGAUGGGUGUCAGAACAGUGUGGUCAGCUGCUUUUUGGUGGUUCCCAGAGACAGAAUAAAGGGCAGUGGGUACAAACUGCAACAGAGGAAGUUCCAAAUGAACUUCUUUACUUUGGAGGCUACAGAGAACUGGAAGAAGCUGCCCAAAGGAGUUGUGGAGUCCUUUUCUCUGGAGAUAUGCAAAACCCCCCUGGACACUUUCUUCUGCAACCUACUGUAGAGAACCUGCUUUAGCCAGGGGAUUGGACUAGACGUUCUCCAGAGGUCCCUUCCAAUCCCUAUGAUUCUCUGGUUCUGUGUUAGAUUCACCUUUAUCAGAUGUGUAUCACCAGUUUGAUGAUCUCUCAAACAAAAUCUGUCAAAUGACAACAUAAUUUACAGUGAUAACAUAUGAAAUACCUUGUGACCUCAAUUGGUUUUCUUUGACUAUAAGUUUAACUAGAAUUCAAAUAAACCACCAGGAAACUCUUGUAUCUUUUUAGAGAUUUACCUAUUGCAAAAAAAAAAUGACCUCCUGCUCAACUGUUCUGAUAUAUGCAUAUUAGAGAGUGUCUUUAAGAUAUUUUGAAGACUAAAAAUAUGUAUAUUUACUGUAGAGUUUUUGUAUAUCUUUUUGUUAUUAUCAAAACAAUAAAAAAAUACACAUUCCCAUUUCCAGGUACAAUUUAGAAUAUAAAGCAAGAAAGAAACUAUGUAUUUGAGGAAAUUAAGUGUUAUACAGUACAGAAUCUGGUACAGAAUUGGCACUCUGCAGAAGUCAAGAAUAAUCUCAAAACAUCACAAAAAAAAAAGAAAAGAAAAAAGAAAAAUAAUAUUUACAAAGUUUUUUGUUUACAGUUUUGCAGUUUAACUUGCGUGCUAAGAAGUAUCGAAUCUAUAGAAAAAAAACGUUUUUACUCUGACCUCUUUCUACAUUGUUUCUGGCUUGUUUGCUUUGUUUAUUUAAAGCACAUCAUUGAGACAGCUGAAAGUAGAUCAGUAAACUGUGAAAUGUCUCUGACAGUAUAGUAGGAAGUUCAUUUGAUGUAAUAAGUUGGAGUUGAAAGGUGGUUUUAUAUUUUUUCCUGAAUAUGAACAACUAUUGCCAGUUGCAACUAUUGAGCAUAUGGCUAACCAUUUUUUAUGAAUUUAAUAUCUUUGAUCUGAGAAUAUAUUUCAUCUACAAGAGAAGAAAUCAGACAUAAACAUUAGCUGCAGAAAAAAAUGUGACAGCUUGGUUUAGGGUGGUAAAUAGAAAUUUAUUCUCUCACACACACACACACACACACACAAGAUAAAUAUAAAGCAAGAUGUGCAUCUCUCAAUAAUUUCUUAAGGAAGAAAACACCAUUCCAGUGAUAAAUGAAGUCUUGCUUGCUUAACUGUUGAAUACUAUCAGUUUGUAAAACAGAGAUAGGUAGUGAAGUCUGUGUACAAGACAUUCCUGAAAGUAUUGUUAUUUUACUCUGAACUAUAAAUGUUAAAGUCUUAAUUAAAGAGAUAUGAAAAAGGUGUGAUAUGCUGAAUUAGUUGAUGAAUUGCUUGUUUGAUUAAAGUAUAAUUAAACAGAUUUGUUUUUAUUUCAUAUUCCAUAAAUGAUAAAUGACUCUCAAACUAGUUCCAUAAUUAAGAUACACAUAUAGUAAGUGAAGAGAUUAAUGUUUAAUUAACUAAGGUCUUAACUAUAAUACUUGAGGCGAUAUUCAUUAAGGAAAAUCUACAGUAGUUAUGCUGGGCUGACAGUUUUUUUUUUUUAUGGAGCUUUUGUAUCAAAGAUAUUGUGUAUGAAGAACUAGGAUAAUUUCUGGAACAGCCACAGGGCUUUUUCUUCAAAGAGGUCAUUCAUAGGUAUAGAUUUUUACUUUUUAUAAAUUAUACAUCUGUGCUGAUGAAAAUUUACUGAUUCUAACACUGGGUACCUUAGAUAGCUCCUUGAUCAAAUUAAUCUUGACCAUGAUUAUAUAACUGAAAUAAGAUAAUAUUGAAUUCACUUUUUUUUUUUUUGAGUAAAGGUGAGGAAAUGAUAAAUUCAGUAAGAAUUUUGAAAUUUGGUUUCAUCGUGGUUCAAAAUGAAACCUAAGCAUCAUUCUCUACAUAAGUAAUUUUUUUUUUUGUUGUACUGUAUGGAAACUGUUGAAUCACAGCUUGAACCACUGAUUGACCACCUGAGGCGAGCACUGAGUCAGCUGCAGGGGCACAGAUGAACACAAUUUCACCUGAGUCACCGGAAGGGUUCCAGACACCUGUCCAGAAGAGAAGAAGAACUACAUACCCCAGGGGGCUUUGUGGUCAGAGAGGAGAUACAACCUCUGGAAAAGUCAUCUGUUGUCUCUUUCUUCUCUCGGCUCUCAUCCUGACCACACGCGUCGCCUCAGCACUACUAUAAGGCCUAUGGCUUUCAGAUACUCUUUCUCUCAUUAUAUUUCAUUUAUUAGCUUCAAUUCUAAUUACAUUGUAUUAUAGUGUGUUACCUUGCAUUCCAAUACCAUAUUUAGUAAAUUAGUUUGUUUCUCCUCAGAUCAUUGCUGCUGGCUUUUUAAAUUAUUUUGGGGUCCCCUGUUUCCCUUUCCUGGAGGCGUGGAUUUUGUGAAAUCCCUCUGCCCUGCUAGUCAUGGAACUGGGCCGAACCAGCCCAUAAACCGUCAACACAUAGUUACAGAAUAGCCAUAGAAAGCUAAUAUUGAAAUAAUUUGAGUUCCAGGUGCAAUGUCUGACAGAAGCAGUGCAGAUUGAGAGUACAAGGAAAAGAAUAGAUACAGCAAUGUUUUCCUAGACACUUACAUUCUUCCAAAUUUUAUGAUCUGUAAUUCAAAGCCAUCUUGACCCAGAAAUGAUUUUUUUUUUUUUUUACUAUUUAAUAGGACAUAAAGCAUUUUUCUUGAAAAAAUCUAUCCAAAACAUCUUUAAACACGUGUAAACUUCUAGUGCACAAAAUGUCCUGUGGCAAAUAAUUCAAUGGCUUAACUAUGCUUUGUGUGAAUAAAAUAUUUUUCUUGUUGAUUCUGAAUCUAGCAGCUUUCAUCUUUCACUGCAAAAGAGAGUAAGCAAAAUUUUUCCACUCACACUCCCAUAGAAUCAUAGAAUGGUUUGGGUUGAAAUGGACCUUUAAGAUGAUUUAGUUUUGACAACCCCCCUGCUAUAGGAGGGAGACCUCCCUCUAGACCAGGUUGCUCAAAGACUUGGACUUGUUCCACCAUUACCGUGGGACAGAAACCACUCCUCACACCCUCACCUAGAGCCUCAUGGUCCUGGCAGACAUGGGAAGCCUGACCACCUGUGAAGACUGAGGCAAAGCACUCAUUGAGUACCUCAGCUUUUCCUAUGUCUGAGGAAGCCAGCUCCCCAUUACCUUUCAUCAGAGGGGAACACUCUCCUUGGCUUGUCUCCUCCUUCCUAGGUAUCUGUAAAACCCCUUCUUGUUAUCUUUCACAUCCCUCACCAAGUUCAGCUCCAUCUGUGCCUUGGCUUUCCUCAUCCUAUCUCUACACACAGGGACAACCGCCCUGCAUUCCUCCCAGGAUACACAACCCUGCUUCCACUUCCUGUACAUCUCCCUCUUUUCUCUCAGUUUAAGCUACAGGUCCUUGCACAGCCACAACGGUCGCCUGCCUCCCCUGCUUGACUUCUUCUGCUGGGGGAUGGAGAGCCAUUGCACUCUCAAAAGGGUGUCCUUAAAGAGCUGCCAGCUUUGUUCUGUAUCCAUGCCCUUAAGGAUAGUUUCCCAGGGGAUCCCACUCAGCAGUUUCUCAGGCAGCUGGAUGUUUGCUCUCCUAAAGCACAGGGUCCUAGCUCUGCUUUUUGCCAGGCCCACAUUCUUCCAGAUCACAAACUCCACCAAGGCAUGGUCACUACAGCCCAGGCUGCCUCCUAUCUUGACCUCUCUGAUGCUCUCCUCUGCAUUAGUGACCACCAGGUCCAGUAAGGCUUCACCUUGGAUAGGUCCAUCUAUUACCUGGACCAGGAAGUUGUCCUCGACAGACUCCAGGAAUCUCCUGGAUUGUCUGCUGCCUGCCAUGUCACCAUCCCAGCAGAUAUCCAGGUAGUUGAAAUCCCCCAUCAGGACAAGAGCCCACGAGUGUGACACCUCCUGCAGCUGAAACAAGAAGGCCUUUUUCACAGCCUCUUCCUGAUCAGGUGGCCUGUAACAGACCCCAACCACCAGAUGCUCUUUACUGGAUGGAUCCUUGAUUUUUACCCACAAGCUCUCAGCCUGACUGUGGCUGUUCCUCAGACACAGCUCUUUGCAAUUGAUCCACUUCCUAACAUAGAGGGCAACUCCACCACCCCUCCUACCCUGUCUAUCCCUUCUGAAAAGCCUGUAGUCCUCAAUCAGGGUAUUCUAAUCAUGCAAUUCAUCCCACUGUGUUUUCAUGAUAGCAAUUAUGUCAUACUUUCCCAAUUGUGCCACGGUUUCUAGCUCCUCCUGUUUAUUUCCCAUGCUGCGCACAUUGAUAUAGAGGCACUUCAGCUUAGCUAUUGGUCUCAUUGCCUUCUCAGAGGGGCCCUCCCUAAUACCUUCAGGACAAGCCUGGGGCUUUCCCUUACCACCUCCCAAGGUGACAGCGUUCCAACAUGCUUCUCUGUCUCCUAGUACACCCCCUUCCCCCAUCAUGUCUAGUUUAAAGCCCUGCUAACCAGCUGAGCCAGCUUGUUCCCAAGAAUAUUUGUGGCCCCUCUAGUCAGUUGGCUCUCAUCCACUGUCAGCAUUCCCCCUUUCUCAAGGCUGCGUCCCAAGCCAUAGUACCCAAAGCCCUGAGCAUGACACCAUUUGCAAAGCCAUUCAUUCAGUGUGUCCACCCUCUUCCUUUUGUGCAGAUCCCAGUCACCAACUGAGAGGACAGAGGAGAACACAACUUGUGCUCCCAAUCCCCUUAGAAGUCUUCCCAGAGCCCUGAAGUCCCUUUUGAUUGCCCAAGGACUUCUUUUGCCUACCUCUUCCUUUCCAAUGUGGAAAACCAGUAAUGGAUAAUAAUAAUCAGAGGGCUUAAUCAAGUGAGUGAUGUUCCUAGCACCAUCUCUCACCUGGGCACCAGGCAGGCAACACACCUUCCUCUGGGAUGGAUCCAAGCAGCAUAUUGGGCCCUCGGUUCCCCUCAGAAGGGAGUCCCCUAUGAUGACAUCCCUUCUUUUUUUCCUGACUGACAUAGCAAAACAGCAAGCAGACUGACUAGCAUUGGUCAACCUCUCCUGCACAGAUGGAUUUUCACCAACAUCCACAGCCCCCAGUCCCUCCAGCUCCAGAGCCUCAUACCUGUUACGUAAGGGCACCUGGGAAGGUGGGACAGGCUAAGGGGCAGUCCACUUGUUGCCCCAAACAGGGACUUGUUUCCAUCCCUUGCUGCAUUUGAGGUCGUCCCCUUCCCACCUGACUGUGAGACAGCAGAUGAUCCCCCACUGCUUGAAGAGCAUCUUCCCCCACACCCUUCCUGUAGGGAUGGCAGAGUGCAACUCCAUCAAUCAAUCCCCUUCUCACAAUCCCAGAUGCUCCUUAGCCUUUCUAUUUCCUCCUUUAGCUCUACCACCAGGCUGAGCAGAUCCUCCACCUGCUCACACCGCACACAGGUGGUAUCCUGGCUGCCCUCCUGUACCAGUGACAGGACCAGGCAUUCUCCACAGCCUGAGACCUGAACUGCAGCAUGGACAUUCAUGCUUUCAGUCUGAGUCUCCACGUUCCUUUAGCAACAGCUCACCUCCAUAUGGUGACCAUGGUUGAAACUUGGUGUGUCCAGAGAGCAUUGACCUGUUAAGUGACCUGUUAAGUGCUAAGUGCUAAGCCCCUCCUAUACAGCAAGGUGCCCCGCCCUGCCUGCUCACUGAUUCGCUUGGGGUUUGCCCUGAAAAUCACUCUCAACAAGAUAACAACUCACCUCCCUGUGUAGCCAUGCAAAUAGGUGGCUUACUGUUUCAACCUCAGCCCUCUGGUCAUCUUCUUGGCCCUCCUCUGGACCCACUCCAACAGCUUGAUGUCCUUCUUGUGUUGGGACCCUAGAAAUUGAUGCAGUACUCUAGGUGGGGUCUCAGAAGAGCAGAGUAGAGGGACAGAAUCACCAAUCUCGACCUGUUGGUUGCACUUCUCUUGAUGCAACCCAGGAUACGAUUGGCCUUCUGGGAUGAAAGUGCAAAUUGCUGGCUUUUAUCAGCAGUUUGCCACUAUUCUUUCAGCAAGUGACACCCGCAAAUCCUUCUCAGGGCUGUUCUAAAGCCUUUCUAUCCCCAGCAUAUAUCUGUGCUGGGACUUGCUCCAACCCAGGUGCAGGAUUUUGCACACGGGCACUCAACAUUUAAUAAACAUCUGUUUUCAAGCUUGUAGGAAAAAAAAAAAAAAAAACAAAAAAAACAAAACAAAAACUGGUACAGAUAAACUCUUAUUAGUACUAUUUAGCAUCUAAUUUAUUUACCUGUGCUGUAAAAGCAUCACAUAAAACAAAAUUGUUUCCUCUAAUUUUCAUCCAGAAACAUUCUGUCACGAAGAGGGAAAAAAGUAUCCGUAUAGAUCUUACAGCACAAAUGAAUUCUCCUUCCCAUAGACCACUGGCCAUAGGGAGAUCUAGCUACUCACUCUUCGUUUUUAUAAGGUUUCAGAACACAAAACCAUGAAAAACAUAUCCUGCCUGUAUGUCUCUAUGUAUUUUUCUGAUCUUAAAUUGCUUAUCUGGUCAGAUGCACAAAGUACUUAAAAUUGCCUGUUUAAUCUGUUUAUUUAUUUUUCUCUUGUUUCUUAUUAUUUCAGUCUCCCAUAAUUAUUUUCUAUUCUUUUAAUUGCAUGCCAGUCUUCCUGUGUAUGAGGGCUGCUCUGAAAUUAAUGCCUCCUAUUUCAUUAUGUUGGCCCACAGCAUCAGAAGCAGAUGUUGGUGGUUUGACAGUAGAGGUUGAGCCUUCCAACCAAUAUUCCAUUACAUUUGUUGCUGCAUGACAGAUGGCGGCAGAGGGGUAGUCUGACAAGCUGAUAUCUGAUAUGGGCAUGCAUAUGAAGCAAAGGUGUGUCAUUGAAUUCCUCCACGCAGAAAAACUGGCACCCAUAAACAUUCAUUGACAUUUGCUGAACAUUUCUGGAAACCAAGCAGUGGACGUUAGCAUAGUGAGAUGGUGUGUGGUGCAUUUCAGCAGUGGCAACACAGACGUGAAAGGCAAGCCACGUUCUAGACAGUUAUGUAGAUAUUCAUGAGUGUGGCAUACAGGCUCUGUUCAUCAUGGGUGAAAAUGCAAAGCUGUUGACUAUCUUAAAAAAUAGUAUUUACUAGCUGAGACUUUGUGCUAUCAAAUAAUGCUAUUUUGUCCUUUAUAUAUAUAUAUAUAUAUAUAUAUUUUUUUUUUCCCCCAUGGAAAUAAAUAAGCAUUACUUUCAGAACAAUCUACAUAAUUUUAACCCAGUGGAAGACAAACAUAAAGACACAUAUUUUUUUCCUUUUCUUAUAUGUUGAUCAUUGCUGCUUAUUAAAAGCUAGAAAUAACUUACUUCAAUAUUACUCUUCAAGGUUACUAAAAACCAAAACACCACCAUCACACACAAACUCUGUUUUUGUCUUCAUCAUGUAAAAGUUGAUGCACAUGACAUGCAUGAACUUGAGCAAUUACUUCAUAUAGAAACCAUAUUAAUUAACAGAACCCUACAAUUCUGCGGUUUAUGUUUUGAGUUAUUGAUCACAUGAUUUUGCUCACAUGCUCACUAUGAAUUGCCCAGUAUAUCCAGAGAUGCUUUGACUGAUGCUUGCAUAAGUCCUCUGAUAUAUCUCCAGAAGGAUUUCAUAUGUAUCACAGUAAAAGAUUUAAAAAAAAAAUAAAAAAAUAAAAAAAUAAAAGUCAAGAAGAUAAUUUUGCUUGCAUUGCUCUGAUUUCAGCUGGUAAAGAGGUUUUUUUAUUGUUUUGUUUUUUUUUUCCCCAUAAUGUCUGGUAUAGCACACCGAUGUUUUAGCUGUUCAGUGGUGUUGCACAGAGCCAAAGAUAUUGCAGCUUCUUGACUUGUUCUUCCCUGCCAGUGAGAAAGUCUAAGAGGGUACAAGUAUCUGGGAAGGGACAGAACCAGGACAGCUGACCUAAGAUGGCCAAAGGGCUAUUUCAUACUGUAGAACAUCUAGUGAAAAACUAUAAAACUAAGAGAAGUUAACCAGGGGGAAGGGAGUAGAAGACUGCUGCUGAUCCUGACCAGCUGGGUAUUGGUCAGCA
ensembl:lncRNA